rnacentral:rRNA from 1 species
CCUACGGGUGGCUGCAGUCGAGAAUCAUUCACAAUGGGGGAAACCCUGAUGGUGCGACGCCGCGUGGGGGAAUGAAGGUCUUCGGAUUGUAAACCCCUGUCAUGUGGGAGCAAAUUAAAAAGAUAGUACCACAAGAGGAAGAGACGGCAAACUCUGUGCCCGAAGCCGCGGUAAUACAGAGGUCUCAAGCGUUGUCCGGAAUCACUGGGGGUAAAGCGUGCGUUGGCGUGUUCGUAAGUCGUGUGUGAAAGGCGCGGGCUCAACCCGCGGCCGGCACAUGAUACUGGGAGACUAGAGUAAUGGAGGGGGAACCGGAAUUCUCUGUGUAGCAGUGAAAUGCGUAGAUAUCGGGAGGAACACUAGUGGCGAAGGCGGGUUCCUGGACAUUAACUGACGCUGAGGCACGAAGGCCAGGGGAGCGAAAGGGAUUAGAUACCCGGGUAGUC